UACGUAGGCAGCAAGCGUUGUUCGGAGUUACUGGGCGUAAAGGGUGCGUAGGCGGCUUUUUAAGUCUGGUGUGAAAUCUCCCGGCUCAACUGGGGGGGUGCGCCGGAUACUGCGGGGCUAGAGUGUGGGAGAGGAAAGUGGAAUUCCGAGUGUAGAGGUGAAAUUCGUAGAUAUUCGGAAGAACACCAGUGGCGAAGGCGACUUACUGGACACAUAUUGACGCUGAGGUGCGAAAGCGUGGGGAGCAAACAGG
rnacentral:rRNA from 1 species